ensembl:lncRNA
UUUCUGGGCAGUGUCGCAUGUGGAUGCAGUGGCCACAUGUCAUUAAUCAAGAACAAUUAGUCAGGAAUAACUCCAUGUGUAGACAAGUCCAAAUUUAAGGUGAGAGUGGUCACAAGAUGGUGUUCUCCAGGAAGGUGACCUCAGAGCAGAUGUAAUUUCCAUGUGGAUGAUAAUGCUCUUGGCUGGGAAAGAACAGACAUUUGAGAAUUAUUUAAUUUUUUAUCACCAGGUACACACUCAUACACCACUGUUAAGGACCCUAGUCCCAUGAACACUGGAAUAUGGAUCAUGAAGAACUUGCUGUUGCUGCCUGUGACAAAAGAUGAGAACCUGAUGAUCAACUUCCACCAUUCAUUUCGCUCGUCUCUCACAUGUUGUUUCAGCAGAACAUAAGGAUACUGAACUAACAGAUCUCCUUUGCAAGUGACUUCAUGCAGCCAGAUGGGAAAGCAUUUUCCUCACCUCCCAUGUGUGCAGGGAAGAUCCUCUCUCCAGUGAAAACUAUGAUCCCUUGACGGCACAGCCAUCUGAUGAGUAGGUGGGAGGACGCUUGACUGUGUCUCUUCCGACACAAUCAGCAUCGUGUAGAAUGGGGAGGAAGGUGUAGGAGAUACAGAUUUACUGCUACAUGCUUCCACUAUGGGUCAAGAACUUUCUGAACUUUAAGCCACAAAACUUUUUUGUAAGUUGAGUUUGGUUGCAUGUCAACUCCUCUUGGUAGGGUCCUGUAUGUUAGCAUCCAGUUACACAUUUCUACACACAAGUCUUAAAAUUAGACAGUGCAUGUUAUGUUUUUUUUAUGAGUGAGAUCUUUGGUUAUGAACAAUUCUACUAUUACAAAGCAGAAACAAAUGAAAAAUUAAGAGAAUGAAAAACAUUAACCUAGAAGAGUAAUUUUUACACAAACAUUGGCAUGCUCUAUUAUAGUAUGGGAUUUUAUAGAACAAAAUACAUUUAUAUCUCCUAGAGACAUUGAAAAAGUGGCAAUAGUCAAGGUAGCACUGAACAUUCAUUCCUUUUUUAAGUACUUUAUUAACUUGGGUUAUCAUAUCUUAUUACCAGCUGUUUUUAUUUUUAUACAGUUUGAGCCUGAUCCAGUAUCUUUUUACCACUAAGGAGUAUUCUUUGUGUAGGGAAAAUAGGAUUUUAUUCUUUUAUUUGUUGAUUUCGACUGCUUAUUAGAGUUCACUUCUGUUUGAGCUGUUAACAAUAUGUCACUGUAUCUUGAGAGUCUCUUUGGAUUAUUGCUUGAUAAUUGGGAGACUGUGUAAUAUAGCAAAUUAUUUUAAAAAGGGUAUGGGACAUAACAGAAGGCUGCUCUGUAAUUUGUUGUAAUCAUUAGUUUGACUGACUUGUCUAUCCUAAACAAAUUUUACUGUGUUAUUGCAAUUACUGUAUGUCAGAAAAUAGUAAAAAGAAAAAAAUCCCAUUGGCAUCUAUUUCAAGAGAGUUAUUAACAGGAGAACCUGAACUUAACUGCAGCAUUAAGAUACAAUAUCUGGUUCUGCCUUUUUAAAUCCAACAAAAGUCAAAUAAAUUGUGCGGAUGAAACUGAAGUGUAUUUAAAAUUGUUUUGCUUUGCUUGGUGCUAGGAUAGAAUGUGAAACUAAAUAUGUUCAUCCAAAGAUAACUGAAGUUCCUGCUCCUGUUUAGAUUUCAUCGUCUGUUAGAAAUCUCCUAGGUGAUUAAACUAAUGCACUGUAAAAGAAUGAAUCAGUCCUGCAGAGCUUCUCUCUGUACUGAGAAUAACUUGCUCAGUUAAGUACUGUUGGGGUUUUACUAAAUUAAAAUCCUGGGAAUUUUUGUGCAUAAUAUAUUUUAUCUGCGAAAGCUGAGUAAAAUUUUAUAUCUGACUCUCAAACUAAAUUCCUUUGGUAAUUAAUAAAGAAGAUUUGAAUACAUUUCUGGUAGAGUCAUCUUUGACCAAUUUAAUAACUUGAUUUUCUUAACAGAGGAAAAUCCUUAUCUCUCAAGGCUUGUGGUAACAUUGGGAUACACCGUGAAAUUGUUAAGAGAUUCAGAGAGUCUUUUCUUUGUUGCGAGAAGAUGAAUUCAGAUUGGAAAGUUAUCAUUUACUGGCUCAGGUGGAAUACAUUCUUAGUAAUUAUUUAAUAUUUAUAUUUCAGUUCCUCUGUAGAUACCAGUAGAUUCCUGAAACUCUUACGGGAAGCAUCGUGUAGGCUGCUUGCAAAGCUGACUCAUUUUAACUGUUCACUUGUUUACAGAUAAAU